rnacentral:rRNA from 1 species
CGACAUGCGAGGCUGUAGGUCUAACACAUGCAGUCGAGCGGAAACGAGCUAUCUGACCCUUCGGGUGACGAUAACGGCGUCGAGCGGCGGACGGGUGAGUAAUGCCUGGGAAAUUGCCCUGAUGUGGGGGAUAACCAUUGGAAACGAUGGCUAAUACCGCAUAAUAGCUUCGGCUCAAAGAGGGGGACCUUCGGGCCUCUCGCGUCAGGAUAUGCCCAGGUGGGAUUAGCUAGUUGGUGAGGUAAGGGCUCACCAAGGCGACGAUCCCUAGCUGGUCUGAGAGGAUGAUCAGCCACACUGGAACUGAGACACGGUCCAGACUCCUACGGGAGGCAGCAGUGGGGAAUAUUGCACAAUGGGCGCAAGCCUGAUGCAGCCAUGCCGCGUGUAUGAAGAAGGCCUUCGGGUUGUAAAGUACUUUCAGCAGUGAGGAAGGUAGUAGUGUUAAUAGCGCUAUUAUUUGACGUUAGCUGCAGAAGAAGCACCGGCUAACUCCGUGCCAGCAGCCGCGGUAAUACGGAGGGUGCGAGCGUUAAUCGGAAUUACUGGGCGUAAAGCGCAUGCAGGUGGAUGAUUAAGUCAGAUGUGAAAGCCCGGGGCUCAACCUCGGAAUAGCAUUUGAAACUGGUUAUCUAGAGUACUGUAGAGGGGGGUAGAACUUCAGGUGUAGCGGUGAAAUGCGUAGAGAUCUGAAGGAAUACCGGUGGCGAAGGCGGCCCCCUGGACAGAUACUGACACUCAGAUGCGAAAGCGUGGGGAGCAAACAGGAUUAGAUACCCUGGUAGUCCACGCCGUAAACGAUGUCUACUUGGAGGUUGUGGCCUUGAGCCGUGGCUUUCGGAGCUAACGCGUUAAGUAGACCGCCUGGGGAGUACGGUCGCAAGAUUAAAACUCAAAUGAAUUUGACGG